UACGUAGGUGGCAAGCGUUGUCCGGGUUUAUUGGGCGUAAAGCGCGCGCAGGCGGUUCUUUAAGUCUGAUGUGAAAUCUUGCGGCUUAACCGCAAGCGGUCAUUGGAAACUGGGGAACUUGAGUACAGAAGAGGAAAGUGGAAUUCCACGUGUAGCGGUGAAAUGCGUAGAUAUCAGGAGGAACACCGGUGGUGUAGACGGCUUUCUGGACCGUAACUGACGCUGAGACACGAAGGCGUGGGUAGCAAACAGG
rnacentral:rRNA from 1 species